ACAUGCUCUUUCGGUUCUUCUUGAAAA
rnacentral:sRNA from 1 species